rnacentral:sRNA from 1 species
CAUUAGCCCCGAUUGCAGCCUCGUCUUUUGGAACGAGACUAAAAGCGGAAACAAGG